rnacentral:rRNA from 1 species
CCUACGGGUGGCAGCAGUGAGGAAUAUUGGUCAAUGGACGAGAGUCUGAACCAGCCAAGUAGCGUGAAGGAUGACUGCCCUAUGGGUUGUAAACUUCUUUUAUAAAGGAAUAAAACGAGGCACGUGUGCCUUUUUGCAUGUACUUUAUGAAUAAGGAUCGGCUAACUCCGUGCCAGCAGCCGCGGUAAUACGGAGGAUCCGAGCGUUAUCCGGAUUUAUUGGGUUUAAAGGGAGCGUAGAUGGGUUGGUAAGUCAGUUGUGAAAGUUUGCGGCUCAACCGUAAAAUUGCAAUUGAUACUGGCAGUCGUGAGUACAGUUGAGGUAGGCGGAAUUCGUGGUGUAGCGGUGAAAUGCUUAGAUAUCACGAAGAACCCCGAUUGCGAAGGCAGCUUACUAAACUGUGACUGACAUUGAUGCUCGAAAGUGUGGGUAUCAAACAGGAUUAGAUACCCUUGUAGUC